rnacentral:lncRNA from 1 species
AGAAUAGUUGUGUAAAGGAUAGAGCGCAUGUAUCUUCAUCUUGCAUUUAGGUCAUUUCUUGAAAUACAGAUUGAUUUUUCUGUUGCCAUAAUGACAAAUGCCAUAUUUAGGGUUUUCUUAACAGGUUAGGAUGUCUCACAUAACCACAGGAUUCCUCAGAGUGACCAUGCUGCUCUUCAGAGUGCUAGCAGGCUAGCACUCAUCACUGAGAAUGAUGGAGCGCCUUCCACACGUCACACCACACCCCCAGAAAAUACAGGCAUCUUUAAAUCUUGUAUGCAAGGCUCUAUUCUCACCACUGUUUGGAAUGCUUGGUAGAGACAUCCAUGAAUGCUGCCUUGAGGUCAAAGAGGGUAAGUCAGAUGAAAACAAACAUCAUGAGAUCACUUAUAUUUGGAAUCUAAAAUAUGAUACAAAUAAACUCAUUUAUAAA